rfam:Penicillium expansum strain MD-8 contig355, whole genome shotgun sequence.
AAUCUGUCAUGGAUAACCCAGUGGAAGGCUCACCGCCAUGCCAAUUACCCUGCUUCGGUCGCCAAGAUCAGCGGGAAAGGUGCCUGGUACGAAUCCUGGGGUUGGCAUUUUCACUCGUGCGAGUAAUCCACGACGCUGGAGGCCACUAAGCAAUGGAAAUGACCCUUGAGGGAAGCAAUUCUGCAGAGACAUUUCCACCCUGGGAUGGCGUCGCCAGAUUACACCUUCCUGUUACAGGAAAUUUGGCAAUUUGGUGGGACAACUACUACUU